rnacentral:lncRNA from 1 species
UUAGGUUUUGGGGCUAGGGUAAGGUUUAAAGUUUUUGGCGUUAGGGUUAAAAUCACUGUCCAAAACAUUUGUAGGAACUCUUUUCCAACCUUUUGUUGUUGGUUACACCAACAAAAAUGUAAAAUGAAGAAAAAAAUAUUUGGGGUGUUCGGGUUUCCUGAAGGUAAUACCUGGGUAUUAGAUUUUAAGCUAGGGUAAGAUUUAAGGUUUUUGGUGUUAUGGUUAAAAUCACUGUCCAAAACCUUUGUAGGAACUCUUUUCCAACCUCUUGGAGUUGGUUACACCAAUAAAAAUGUAAAAUGAAAAAAAUAAUAUUUGGGGUGUUCAGGCUUCCUGAAGGUAAUACCCGGGUAUUAGGUUUUGGGGCUAUAGUAAGGUUUAAGGUUUUUGGCGUUAGGGUUAAAAUCACUGUCCAAAACCUUAGUAGGAACUCUUUUCCAACCUUUUGGAGUUAGUGUGACCAGAAAAAAUGAAAAAAGAAAAAAAAAUAUUGGGCGUGUUCGGUUUUCCUGAAGGUAAUACCUGGAUAUUAGGUUUUGGGGCUAGGGUAAGGUUUAAGGUUUUUGGCGUUAUGGUUAAAAUCACUGUCCAAAACCUUUGUAGGAACUCUUUUCCAACCUUUUGGAUAUAGUUAGACCAAUAAAAAAUGAAAAAAAUAAAAAUAUUUUGGGUUUUCUGGCUUCCUGAAGGUAAUACCCUGGUACUAGUUCAUGGUGCUAUGGUAAGGUUUAAGGUUUUUGGCGUUAGGUUUAAAAUCACUGUCCAAAGCCCUUGUAGGAACUCUUUUCCAACCUUUUGGAGUUGGUUACACCAACAAAAAUGUAAAAUGAAGAAAAAAAUAUUUGGGGUGUUCGGGCUUCCUGAAGGUAAUACCCGGGUAUUAGAUUUUUAGGCUAGGGUAAGGUUUAAGGUUUUUGGCGUUAGGGUUAAAAUCACUGUCCAAAACCUUUGUAGGAACUCUUUUCCAACCUUUUGGAGUUAGUUAGACCAAAAAAAAAGAAAAAGAAAAAAAAAAUUAUUGGGGGUUUUCGGGCUCCCUGAAGGUAAUACCCGGGUAUUAGGUUUUGGGACUAGGGAAAGGUUUAAGGUUUUUGGCGUUAGGGUUAAAAUCACUGUCCAAAACCUUUGUAGGAACUCUUUUCCAAUUUUUUGGAGCUAGUUAGACCAACAAAAAUGUAAAAUGAAAAAAAAAUAUUUGGGGUGUUCGGGCUUCCUGAAUGUAAUACCCGGGUAUUAGAUUAUGGGGCUAUGGUAAGGUUUAAGGUUUUUGGCAUUAGGGUUAAAAUCACUGUCCAAAACCUUUGUAGGAACUCUUUUCCAAACUUUUGGAGUUAGUUAGACCAAAAAAAAAAAGAAAAAUGUAAAAAAAAUAAUCGGGGUUUUCGGGCUUCCUGAAUGUAAUACCCGGGUAUUAGAUUUUAAGGCUAUGGUAAGGUUUAAGGUUUUUGGCAUUAUGGUUAAAAUCACUGUCCAAAAACUUUGUUGGAACUCUUUUCCAACCUUUUGGAGUUGGUUACACCAACAAAAAUGUAAAAUGAAAAAAAUAUAUAUUUGGGGUGUUCGGGCUUCCUGAAGGUAAUACCCGGGUAUUAGGUUAUGGGGCUAUGGUAAGGUUUAAGGUUUUUAGCAUUAGGUUUAAAAUCACUGUCCAAAACCUUUGUAGGAACUCUAUUCCAACCUUUUGGAGUUGGUUACACCAACAAAAAUGUAAAAUGAAAAAAAUAUAUAUUUCGGGUUUUCUGGCUUCCUAAAGGUAAUCCCCGGUUUUAGAUUAUGGGGCUAUGGUAAGGUUUAAGGUUUUUGGCGUUAGGGUUAAAAUCACUGUCCAAAACCUUUGUAGGAACUCUUUUCCAACCUUUUCGAGUUAGUUAGACCAAAAAAAAAAAAGAAAAAUGAAAAAAAAAAUAUUUGGGGUUUUCGGGCUUCCUGAAUGUAAUACCCGGGUAUUAGAUUUUAAGGCUAGGGUAAGGUUUAAGUUUUUUGGCGUUAGGGUUAAAAUCACUGUCCAAAACCUUUGUAGGAACUCUUUUCCAAUUUUUUGGAGCUAGUUAGUCCAAAAAAAAAAAUGAAAAAUGAAAAAAUAAUAUUUGGGGUGUUCAGGCUUCCUAAAAGUAAUACCCGGGUAUUAGCUUAUGGGGUUUGGGAAAGGUUUAAGGUUUUUGGCAUUAGGGUUGAAAUCACUGUCCAAAACCUUUGUUGGAACUCUUUUCCAACCUUUUGGAGUUGGUUACACCAACAAAAAUGUAAAAUGAAAAAAAAAUAUUUGGGGUGUUCGGGCUUCCUGAAGGUAAUAACUGGGAAUUAAAUUAUGGGGCUAUGGUAAGGUUUAAAUUUUUUGGGGUUAGGGUUAAAAUCACUGUCCAAAACCUUUGUAGGAACUCUUUUCCAACCUUUUGGAGUUAGUUAGACAAAAAAAAAAUGAAAAAUGAAAAAAAAAUAUUUGGGGUGUUCAGGCUUCCUGAAUGUAAUACCCGGGUAUUAGGUUAUGGGGCUAUGGUAAGGUUUAAGGUUUUUGGCAUUAGGGUUAAAAUCACUGUCCAAAACCUUUGUAGGAACUCUUUUCCAACCUUUUGGAGUUGGUUACACCAACAAAAAUGUAAAAUGUGAAACUCAAGUUAACCAAACACGGAAAUUCAAGUUCAAAAACACCACAAACUCAAGUUCAACAAACACCACAAACUCAAGUUCAAACACAACACAAACUAGAGUUCAAAUAACACACAAAAUCAAGUUCAACAAACACACAAAGCCAAGUUCAAAAACACCACACCCUCAAGUUCAAAAACACCACAAACUCAAGAUCAAAUACACAAGAAACUCAAGUUCAAACACACCACAAACUCAAGUUCAACCAAGACCCAAAUCUCAAGUUUAACAAAUUCCACACCCUCAAGUUCAAAAACACCACACCCUCAAGUUCAAAAACACCACAUACUCAAGUUCAAAAACACCACAAACUCAAGUUCAAAAACACAAGAAUCUCAAGUUCAAACAUGACAAACUCAAGUUCAAACACGACACAAACUCAAGGUCAACAAUCAAACAAACUCAAGUUCAACAAAAACACAAAAUCAAGUUCAAAAACACCACAAACUCGAGUUCAAACACAACACACACUGAAGUUCAACAAACACACAAACUGAAGUUCAAAAACACCACAAACUCAAGUUGAAACAUGACACAAACUCAAAUUCAACAAACACACAAACUCAAAUUCAACCAACUCCUAAUUCUCAAGUUAAACAAUUUCCACAACUUUAAGAUCAAAAACGACACAAACUCAGGUUCAAAAACGACACAAACUCAAGUUGAAAAACACCAAAAACUCAAGUUCAACCAAUACCCAUUUCUCAAGUUUAACAAUUUCCACAACCUCAAGUUAAAAAAAAACACAGACUCAAGCACAAAAACGCCACAAACUCAAGUUCAAACAUGAAACAUACUCAAGUUCAACAAACACACAAUCUCAAGUUCAACCAAAAACACCUGACUCUCAUGUUUAACAAUUGCCACAACCUCAAGUUCAAAAACAACAGAAACUCAAGUUCAAAAAAACACAAACUCAAGUUCACCAAACACGCAAAUUCAAGUUCAAAAACACCACAAACUCAAGUUCAACAAACACCACAAACUCAAGUUCAAACACAACACAAACUCAAGUUCAACAAACACACAAAUUCAAGUUCAAAAACACCACAAACUCAAUUGUAAACACGACACAAAAUCAAGUUCAACAAACUCAAGUUCAAACACAACACAAACUAGAGUUCAACCAAGACCCAAAGUCAAGUUCAACAAACACACCCUCAAGUUCAAAAACCACACCCUCAAGUUCAAAAACACCACAAACUCAAGAUCAAAUACACAACAAACUCAAGUUCAAACAUGACAAAACUCAAGUUCAAACACGACAAACUCAAGUUCAAACACGACACAAACUCAAGGUCAACAAUCAAACUCAAGAUCAACAAAAACACAAAAUCAAGUUAAAAAAUUCCACAAACUCAAGUUCAAACACAACACAAACUGAAGUUCAAAAAACAAACAAACUCAAGUUCAAAAACGCCAAAAACUCAAGUUGAGAAACAACACAGAAUCAAUUUCAACAAACACACAAACUCUAGUUCAACCAACAGCUGAUUCUCAAGUUUAACAAAUUCAACAACCUCUUGUUCAAAAACAACAGAAACUCAAGUUCAACAAACAACAUGAACUCAAGUUCAAACAUGACACAAACUCAAGUUCAACCAACACCCAAAUCUCAAGUUUAACAAUUGGCACAACCUCAAGUUCAACAAACACACAAACUCAAGUUUAAACACACAACAAACUCAAGUUCAAAAAAUGCCACAAACUCAAGUUCAACAAUUGCCACCAAUUAAAGUUCACUAAAAACCACAGAUUCAAUUUCAACAAUUGCCACACACUCAAGUUCAAACACACCACAAACUCAAGUUCAAAUACGACACAAACUUAAGUUCAACCAACACCCAAAUAUCAAGUUUAACAUUUGCCACAACCUCAAGUUCAACAAACACAGUCAAUUUCAACAAACGCCACAAACUCAAGUUAAAACAUGAAACAUACUCAAGUCAAAAAAACCCACAUAAUCAAAUUCAACAUUCACACAAACUCAAGUUCAAAAACGAAACAAACUCAAGUUCAACAAACACACAAACUCAAGUUCAACCACUA